ACACACACACACAUGGGCACACACACAUACAGAAGUGUGAAUAAGAAUGAUAAUAAAAUCGGAGUUAACAUUGAAUUGAUUUAAUCUUGGAUCAAAUUCACUUUAUGUUGACAUUAUCAGAUGAUUUGCUGUACCAACAGAGAACGAGCUUUGCUACCCAGUAAUGUCAUGCAAUGCAAACAGCAUGAUGUAAAGUGGGAACUUCCAAUAUGCAUAUAUCCAAUAGAGGUGUCAGGAUGACUGCACUCUGUGUUCUCAUUUCCAUCAAGACUGUCUCAGUUUGCUGUUUUUGGAUCGCUGUUACCAUAAAUGAAACUCAACACUUCCUGAGCAAAUGUUCACAUUGGAAGGCUUAAAGCACAGACGUGAGUUGAAUCUCGCUGCACAGCACAUGCUUGUUUGAGAGGGACAUCACUGGUUUGCUGCAUUUGGCAAGACAUCACCACAACCUGCUUGGAGGCGGGUCGGGCGCACUUUGGCCCGACUCCGCAAAUGGUCCAUCUCGGGCGUGACUCAGCACAACUCCGUGCAACCGUAAACUGGUAAUGGAAACGCAAAUCAGUGCAGCAUGGUUUGACUCCGCACAGCCAAAAGUGCCAGUGGAAAAAACCCAAAACACAACUGGCAGUGAUGGCAGGAAGCCAGUGAGAGAUAAAUCUAUGCUGCAGCACUUGUCACUCUUACAGGUUGAUCAACCAGUCUUAUAAACAUGAUUAACUAUGAUGCAAUGUAAAAUGUAAUUAUUGUAGCAUUGCAUUUAUUAAAUAAUGCUUUUAAUGUGAUAAUGAUGUGCACAAUGUCUUAUCAAAAUGUCAACUAAAGGGUAGUUCCACCAACACCAUAUAAAAUUGGAUUGGUAUCUGCUUUCACUUUCAAAGUGAUUGAUUUUCAUAGACCAACCAGCACCAAACAAUCAAAUGUAAGUUAUUCAUGUUUUCUGCUGUGGCAACAUUGUUUUGAUUGAAAUAGACAAACUACUCAUUUUGCAUCUAUGUCAAACUCUUGGAUUAAAAAUGACAAUACACCUCAAA